GUGCCAGCCGCCCGCGGUAAUACGGAGGGUGCAAGCGUUAUCCGGAUUCACUGGGUUUAAAGGGUGCGUAGGCGGGCAGGUAAGUCAGUGGUGAAAUCUUCGAGCUUAACUCGGAAACUGCCGUUGAUACUAUCUGUCUUGAAUAUCGUUGAGGUAAGCGGAAUAUGUCAUGUAGCGGUGAAAUGCUUAGAUAUGACAUAGAACACCAAUUGCGAAGGCAGCUUGCUAAACGAUCAUUGACGCUGAUGCACGAAAGCGUGGGGAUCAAACAGG
rnacentral:rRNA from 1 species